rnacentral:rRNA from 1 species
CCUACGGGAGGCUGCAGUGGGGAAUUGUUCGCAAUGGGCGCAAGCCUGACGACGCAACGCCGCGUGGAGGAUGAAGAUCUUCGGGUCGUAAACUCCUGUCGAGCGGGACGAACGCUUCGCGGAUUAACACUCCGCGGAAUUGACGGUACCGCUAAAGGAAGCCCCGGCUAACUCCGUGCCAGCAGCCGCGGUAAUACGGGGGGGGCAAGCGUUGUUCGGAAUUACUGGGCGUAAAGGGCUCGUAGGUGGCCAACUAAGUCAGACGUGAAAUCCCCAGGCUCAACUUGGGAACUGCGUCUGAUACUGGGGGGCUUGAAUUCGGGAGAGGGAUGCAGAAUUCCAGGUGUAGCGGUGAAAUGCGUAGAUAUCUGGAGGAAUACCGGUGGCGAAGGCGGCAUCCUGGACCGAGAUUGACACUGAGGAGCGAAAGCUAGGGGAGC